GACGAACGCUGGCGGCGUGCUUAACACAUGCAAGUCGAACGGAAAGGCCCUGCUUUUGUGGGGUGCUCGAGUGGCGAACGGGUGAGUAACACGUGAGUAACCUGCCCUUGACUUUGGGAUAACUUCAGGAAACUGGGGCUAAUACCGGAUAGGAGCUCCUGCUGCAUGGUGGGGGUUGGAAAGUUUCGGCGGUUGGGGAUGGACUCGCGGCUUAUCAGCUUGUUGGUGGGGUAGUGGCUUACCAAGGCUUUGACGGGUAGCCGGCCUGAGAGGGUGACCGGCAACAUUGGGAAUGAGAUACGGCCCAGACUCCUACGGGAGGCAGCAGUGGGGAAUAUUGCACAAUGGGCGGAAGCCUGAUGCAGCAACGCCGCGUGCGGGACGACGGCCUUCGGGUUGUAAACCGCUUUCGCCUGUGACGAAGCGUGAGUGACGGUAAUGGGUAAAGAAGCACCGGCUAACUACGUG
rnacentral:rRNA from 1 species